UACGAAGGGGGCUAGCGUUGUUCGGAAUCACUGGGCGUAAAGGGCGCGUAGGCGGCGUCGAAAGUCGGCUGUGAAAGCCCGGGGCUCAACCCCGGAGGUGCAGCCAAGACUGCGGUGCUCGAGGUCGGAAGAGGAGGGUGGAAUACCCAGUGUAGAGGUGAAAUUCGUAGAUAUUGGGUGGAACACCGGUGGCGAAAGCGGCUCUCUGGUCCGAAUCUGACGCUGAGGCGCGAAAGCGUGGGGAGCAAACAGG
rnacentral:rRNA from 1 species